rnacentral:lncRNA from 1 species
GGGAGGGGCUCUACCGAGACGAAUGGACUUUUCUGAGGCAGGGCCCAGGAGCUGUAAUUCGAGGGGCCUCAGAUCUCCCUGCCACCCACCUGCCAGGGCCUGGUUGAAGAUGGCUGAGCGUAAAACAGAAUGCAAGUCAGCUGGAGCACGUACUACUGGAGGCAGAGCCCCAUAAGAAGGGGCCAAGAACCCGCACCCACCAAAAUCAAGAAGAAAGGCUGAACCCGGAGAGAAAAGGGAGCAACUGAUGUUGCCAUGCAGAUCCCUUGGUUGCUAUGAGAUGGUAACAUCACUCUGCCCCACCAUUGGCCAGUGCCUCCUCAGCUGCGGUGCCUCCCAGGCUGUGUGGUUCUCACGCGGGCCACUGACACAGAGCUGUUACUAUGGUGAACUUUACAAUUUCCUUUGAUUGGUGGAUUUCAGAAAUAGGCCAUCAGCGGAAUUCAUUAUAUUCAGCUAAGUAAAAAUGAAAAAUAAAUACUAUAGCUUUCCCCUCAUCACUAACAUGAAGGAAACGUGACCCUUCAUGACAUAAUAAAUCGCUGUUCGGUAACUUAGGAUCCUUCAGGGGACUGAAGCGGGAUGAUUCUCCUAUGCCAAAUUUGGGUGGGAAAGAUAUUCCCUGUAGCUUUGAGUCGACUCUUCAGAGUUAAGGGCAGUGGGCCAACCAGAGUUGGAACUUCAGAGUUGGGAGGAGGUGUGGGAUGGGGCAUGCAUUGAAAUGUAAACUCUAUUGUCUCUGAAGUGAUGGGUGAUGCUGGGGGCCUGAGUGUGGAGGGCAGUUUUACAUCUCAGGACAAUGUUUUCUCAGAUGCUCUUCCAGAAAGGAAAGCCAGGAGUACUCCUGGCUGGAGGUGGCAUGCCUGAGGUCAGAGUCAAAGUAGGGUUUGUGCUGUCUGAAUCCUUUCUCCCACUCUCCCCAGCCUGGCUCAGCUUCUCAGCUUCUCAGGUGGAUUGGUGAGUCCUGGCCAAUUAUGCUUCAGCUCAUCUCUACUCUCGGCAAAUAGGAAAAGGGAGUGAAGGACUGAGUUUUAACCCUUCUAAUUUCGUAACCUGACUCUCUAUAAGAAAAAGUAGGAGAAAGACUGAAGAACCCGAGAGAAC